rnacentral:rRNA from 1 species
CACGUAGGGUGCGAGCGUUGUCCGGAAUUAUUGGGCGUAAAGAGCUCGUAGGCGGUGUGUCGCGUCGGCCGUGAAAACCUGGGGCUUAACUCUGGGCUUGCGGUCGAUACGGGCAUCACUGGAGUUCGGCAGGGGAGACUGGAAUUCCUGGUGUAGCGGUGAAAUGCGCAGAUAUCAGGAGGAACACCGGUGGCGAAGGCGGAUCUCUGGGCCGUAACUGACGCUGAGGAGCGAAAGCAUGGGGAGCGAACAGG